rnacentral:rRNA from 1 species
AGUGAACGCUGGCGGCGUGCCUAAUACAUGCAAGUCGAACGGAGAUUAAAUAGCUUGCUAUUUAAUCUUAGUGGCGCACGGGUGAGUAAUAUAUAGUUAAUCUGCCCCAUAGUGGAGGACAACAGUUAGAAAUGACUGCUAAUACUCCAUACUCCUUCUUAUCAUAAGUUAAGUCGGGAAAGUUUUUCGCUAUGGGAUGAGACUAUAUCGUAUCAGCUAGUUGGUGAGGUAAUGGCUCACCAAGGCUAUGACGCGUAACUGGUCUGAGAGGAUGAUCAGUCACAUUGGAACUGAGACACGGUCCAAACUCCUACGGGAGGCAGCAGUAGGGAAUAUUGCGCAAUGGGGGAAACCCUGACGCAGCAACGCCGCGUGGAGGAUGACACUUUUCGGAGCGUAAACUCCUUUUGUUAGGGAAGAAUAAUGACGGUACCUAACGAAUAAGCACCGGCUAACUCCGUGCCAGCAGCCGCGGUAAUACGGAGGGUGCAAGCGUUACUCGGAAUCACUGGGCGUAAAGGACGCGUAGGCGGAUUAUCAAGUCUCUUGUGAAAUCUAACGGCUUAACCGUUAAACUGCUUGGGAAACUGAUAAUCUAGAGUAAGGGAGAGGCAGAUGGAAUUCUUGGUGUAGGGGUAAAAUCCGUAGAGAUCAAGAAGAAUACCCAUUGCGAAAGCGAUCUGCUGGAACUUAACUGACGCUAAUGCGUGAAAGCGUGGGGAGCAAACAGG